rnacentral:rRNA from 1 species
UACGUAGCAGCGAGCGUUGUUCGGAAUUACUGGGCGUAAAGAGUGUGUAGGCGGUGCUCUAAGUUCGGUGUGAAACUCUCCCGGCUUAACUGGGAGGGUGCGCCGGAAACUGGAGUGCUCGAGCGUGGGAAGAGGAAAGCGGAAUUCCUGGUGUAGCGGUGAAAUGCGUAGAUAUCAGGAGGAACACCUGCGGUGUAGACGGCUUUCUGGACCAUUGCUGACGCUGAGACACGAAAGCCGUGGGUAGCAAACAGGA